CCCACUUACACUGAGUCAUUGCAAGUGAAAAACUCUAUUGAUCAAACUCAAAAUAGUGUUAGUUUGUAUUUAUAUAUGCAAAAAUAUAAUAACUACCAUGCCAUAAAUAGGUCUAAUUUGGCACCACCACUGCUCAUUAUUAGUAAUCAUAUGCAUUGGAUUUUAGUACAAGUCUGACCAUUCCUUAAAACAAUUGUUAGUGAUAUGGGCUUCUAUUAGUGGCUUGUUUUUUCAUUCGCCCUCCCCUUCUCCAUCCCAGCAAGCGUCACUGAUUAUUCUGUUACAUUCCGUGAUAAACCAUUCAUUUCCUCCUCUGGAAGCAUGUUUCUAAUUUCUUUUGCUAAUGUUCACUUGUCAAGUUUUCGACAAAUUUGUCUGCUUGGUAUGUGAUGAAAUUGAUGUUUUAGGUCGCGCGCAUCAAAAUGAUGUUAACACAUUUAGAUUGAUACUCCGACGAUAUUUGUAGGUGCCUCGAAAAGCGACAAAAUUUGGAUGUUGGUGCGUUAGUAAAAACAGUAAUUUGAUUGAGAUAACGGGCGAAACUAUUGAAUAAAAUGAACUAAGUAGUGAAGAAUAAAAGGCUCACGUUUAGAAGGGAAACUGACCUUGGGCCCUGGGAACGAGGUUAAGCUUGGUCAUAAAUCGAAGAAUAGUAAGAGUCACAAGCUGUGUUCACAUCAAAGUCGAAACGUGAUUACAGUAAACCAUGUUUCGCCUAAACAUGUUUGUUAUUGCAUUGUUCACAUCAGAUGUUGGUUUCAAACACGUUUCAUGCAUGGUUGUAUAAUUUAUGUUGUUUCAUGUACUCGCAUAAAUGUUUUACACCUCAUUAAGUUUUGCGGCAAUGUUCUCCCAAAUAUUCUGCUUUCUACCCAUCGCCGAUAAUUGCCGUUGUGUUUCUUUAUCGGCCCGUGGUUCAACUAGACAUUUGGCCUCAUAAAAGACCCAAUUUUGGUUCGUUUCAUAACGAAACAUUUUUCAUUCGUGAUCAGACUAAUCAUGUUUUGGCCUAGUGUGGACAUAACUAUAGAAAAGAAAAAUCGCUGCCAUUGUCAUCAUUGUGCGAUUUUCAUUUCUGUAGUUAUUACGAGUUAGCUUAGACUUGAGAUUUAAUAAACUGGUAAUUUUCAUUUUAUCCAUUACAGUUCGUUGGUCAACACUCAGUGUGGGUGAUAGACCUCAUGUGCAGUCAAACUGUAUUUUCUUUGUGUUCUUUUCAGUCAAAUGUGCCUCAAUGUGCGUCAGCUUUGCACUUAUCACUACAACUUACAUGUACCCCACUUCAAUAUCCGCGCGCUGGCAAGGUAAACAAAAUCCUGUAGAAGUGUAGUGAUUGGCUACAACACAAGUUUUAUUUCCCCUUGGCCCCACAAAAAUGUUUUAAAAAGUUAUAUAUUAACAGAGUUAGGGGUCUGGCUACACUAAAGGGCAGGAUAAGGUUGUUCUGCUCGCCCGGGAUUACCCACUCUAUCUCUCAAGAAAAGCGUGUUUCUUAUGCCACGUAAAAAGAUUUUCUAUUAACCUAGCCAACCUCGUUCCGAAGGCUUUUCCCGCUCCGGGAACGAGGUACAGCAAGCUACAAGUUCUUAUUUUUUUUAUUUAUUUUUUUUUUUUUGCAUGCUUAUGGACCUCGACUGCCUCUUAGAUAUAACUUAAGGAGGGUCACGAGUUAUUAAGAAAGUUGAAGUGCUAGUAAAUAAUAUUUACUGCUUGUACGAAUAAUGUUUCCAGAAGGAGUUUCGCGGGAGAAGUUUCACUCCCUCGGCAAUUUCUGUCCCUGCCAACCAGAAGUUUUAUGACAUGUUUUGGCGCAGUCUCGCUGGCAAUUGUGGUCUGAUUAUCGAUCGACGAACCCAAGCGUCUAUUGAUCUCACUACAUCCACGAGUUCUCAGUGAUGUAACUCUUUCAGUCAAAAAAUGGAUCAGUUGUCAGCAGUUACACCGAGGAAGAGGGACGAUUCGCAACUGGCCCCAAUAUAAAAAUGCAACCAUGUUGAUCGUAAACUCAGCUUUAUUUGACUUCUUCUAUAUGACCUUGAUCUUAUUUAAUCUUAUGUAAAUAUACUCAUGUGAAAUCCAAAUACAAUACUGCACAAGAAGCUCCAGAUCCCACUCCUUGGUAUGUUAUCCACUGAUGUAUUAAGAUCGGAAAUCAGAAACCAGUCAGUGGAGGCAAACUGUAUGAGUUCAACCCAUCGGCAAAACUCAAAUGCUUCAUCAUAAUGAAUUCAAAUUAACAUAUCUAGGAGCAGAGAUAUAAAUUGCAAUAGUAGUGGCAAUAACAGAGUGGUAAUUUCAAGAGUGGCCCUGGUAACGAGGUCGUGAGAAUUGAAGCAAAAGAGCGCACAAAAAAUUCAAUCGGGUAAAAAAGGCGGGCGAAACAUAAACUGUAUAUUAUAGUUUAAAUAUUAUUCGAAAACAAACUAUUCAAAACUAUGUGCUAAGCUAGCGCUUUCGAUUUUCGAGGAAAACGUCCCAUCUUCUGCGACGCAAGAAUUUGACAAAGAAACAACCUGAAGGUAUUGAAUCAUAUGCGUAUAGCAACAAAAAUAAGCAAGUAUUGAGCGGUUUGUUUAGGGAAAAUUCCCUUAACUUGUUGAUAGCUAUCAAAUGAGACCUAAAGAGGUAGGGAAAGAACCCUUCACAGAUUGACCAAUCAGAUGUUAGAAUCUCGAAAAUGAAGUUUUCUCUUUGCUUAGAAAGAAGAAAUAAACAUGAGGUCCGUCAUGCGGGCUAUAAAUUCCUGAGCCUCUAACGCGCCAAGUUCAAAUCAGCAAACUUUCAUCCACAAGAUAGAACUAAGGUACUUUGACAGAGCUUCAUCUUACAGUGUAUAAAGAAGUAGAAGAGGAAGAGGACUGCAAGACGGCAAGAAGAAUGCUGUCGCUGUUCCCGGAUCGAGAAGCAAUUAUAAAUCAGUGGAAAGAAAAUGGUAUCAAAUAUUUGUCAGAAGUUACUAGAAAAGGAGUGGAGGGCAUAUGAUAUCGAAAAUGUUCCCGGAGGCAUUGAAGGUAUAUAUUGCAUCGGUAUUUUAUCUUGCGCCCCGCGACAGUUGCGACUAGGAGAGCCAACAGUUCUUUACGUGGGCCGAACGAAUGACGUCCACAGACGACUGGCCGAGCACAAGAGGCAAAACUUAAAGAUUGACGAGUUUGUGAAAGCAGAAUUCCAGGAAAAUGGAGGUGAAGACUUGUGAGUCAAGUGGGUUAAGGAGAACAAUAAAGAGGCCACUGAGAAAGAAUAUAUUCAAUGUAUGGCACAUAAAUUAAAAUACUGGCCUAAGUAUAACAUAAAGCAUUGAAAGUAGAGGGUAAACAUUAACAUAGGCUUUAGACUGUCAGUGUCAUUGUUGGAAAGAAUUACCCAAGCUUGUGAGUCAAGCCAGCCUAAAGUGUUGUCUUUAAUAUUUAAAACAUUUAUUUGUUAUUGUUUGGUAUUGUAUUACUUUUAUUGUAUUUUUUUUUUUUUGUUUUUUGUUUUGGUAUUUUAUCACUUUUAUAUCAAUGAACAGAGUUAUACAAGCAUAACAGACAAAUUUAAAUCAAUUACGUUCAAUAAACUAACUUUUUCCUGCC